rnacentral:pre_miRNA from 1 species
CCGUCAAUUUGACUGUGGUCUGUUUUUAUUUAAUCAUAUCACAGCCAUCUUGACGAGU